AGCGAACGCUGGCGGCAGGCCUAACACAUGCAAGUCGAACGGACCCUUCGGGGUUAGUGGCGGACGGGUGAGUAACACGUGGGAACGUGCCUUUAGGUUCGGAAUAGCUCCUGGAAACGGGUGGUAAUGCCGAAUGUGCCCUUCGGGGGAAAGAUUUAUCGCCUUUAGAGCGGCCCGCGUCUGAUUAGCUAGUUGGUGGGGUAAUGGCCCACCAAGGCUACGAUCAGUAGCUGGUCUGAGAGGAUGACCAGCCACAUUGGGACUGAGACACGGCCCAAACUCCUACGGGAGGCAGCAGUGGGGAAUCUUGCGCAAUGGGCGAAAGCCUGACGCAGCCAUGCCGCGUGUAUGCUGAAGGUCUUAGGAUUGUAAAAUACUUUCACCGGUGAAGAUAAUGACUGUAGCCGGAGAAGAAGCCCCGGCUAACUUCGUGCCAGCCGCCGCCGUAACAC
rnacentral:rRNA from 1 species